rnacentral:RNase_P_RNA from 1 species
GCGGAAGGGCGGAUGGCUGCGGCGCGUAUGCGUCGAGGAAAGUCCGGACUCCACAAGGCAACGGUGCCGGGUAACGCCCGGCGGGGGCAACCCCAGGGAAAGCGCCACAGAGAAUGAGACCACCGUGCAUGCACGGCAAGGCUGAAACGGUGGGGUAAGAGCCCACCGCGGGACGGGUAACCGGACCGGCACGGCAAGCCCCACCGGGAGCAAUGCCGAAUAGGGAUCGCACGCGGGAUGGUCGGUUCGCCGAAACCUCCGCAGGGCCGGCCUUGGCCCGGCGAUCCGGGUUGGCAGCUUGAGCCUCUUCGGUAACGAAGGGGCCAGAGGAAUGGUCAUCCAUGGGGGUUUCGACCCCCGGGACAGAAUCCGGCUUACAGCCCUUCCGCGCGU